rnacentral:rRNA from 1 species
AAUGAACGUUGGCGGCGUGGAUUAGGCAUGCAAGUCGUGCGCGAACUGUAGCAAUACAGGGAGAGCGGCGAAAGGGAGAGUAAUACAUGGUUAGCUACCCUCGGGACUGGGAUAGCGGCGGGAAACUGCCGGUAAUACCAGAUGACAUCUUCGGAUCAAACGUGUGAAUCGGCCCGAGGAGGCGACCAUGUCCUAUCAGCUAGUUGGCAGGGUAACGGCCUACCAAGGCAAAGACGGGUAUGGGGCGUGAGAGCGUGCCCCCACUCACUGGGACUGAGAACUGCCCAGACGCCGACGGGUGGCUGCAGUCGAGAGUCUUCGGCAAUGGGCGCAAGCCUGACCGAGCGACGCCGCGUGCGGGAUGAAGGCCUUCGGGUUGUAAACCGCUGUCGUAGGGGAGGAAGGCUCCGUGCAGAACGGAGUUUGACCGAUCCUAGGAGGAAGGGCCGGCUAAUCUCGUGCCAGCAGCCGCCGUAAUAC